rnacentral:rRNA from 1 species
UACAGAGGUCUCAAGCGUUGUUCGGAUUCAUUGGGCGUAAAGGGCGCGUAGGCGGCGGGGCAAGUCGGGUGUGAAAUCUCAGGGCUCAACCCUGAAACUGCACUCGAUACUGCUCUGCUUGAGGACUGGAGAGGAGACUGGAAUUCACGGUGUAGCAGUGAAAUGCGUAGAUAUCGUGAGGAAGACCAGUGGCGAAGGCGGGUCUCUGGACAGUUCCUGACACUGAGACACGAAGGCCAGGGGAGCAAACGGG